rnacentral:rRNA from 1 species
UACGGAGGGUGCAAGCGUUAUCCGGAUUUACUGGGUUUAAAGGGUGUGUAGGCGGACUUUUAAGUCCGUGGUGAAAUCUCCGGGCUCAACCCGGAAACUGCCAUGGAUACUAUUGGUCUUGAAUGUUGUUGAGGUGGGCGGAAUAUGUCAUGUAGCGGUGAAAUGCUUAGAUAUGACAUAGAACACCCAUUGCGAAGGCAGCUUACUACACGAUCAUUGACGCUGAGGCACGAAAGCGUGGGGAGCAAACAGG